rnacentral:rRNA from 1 species
GACAGAGGGUGCAAACGUUGUUCGGAAUUACUGGGCGUAAAGCGUGUGUAGGCGGCCACGUAAGUCGGAUGUGAAAGCCCCAGGCUCAACCUGGGAAGUGCACUCGAUACUGCGUGGCUUGAGUAUCGGAGAGGUUGGUGGAAUUCUCGGUGUAGAGGUGAAAUUCGUAGAUAUCGAGAGGAACACCGGUGGCGAAGGCGGCACUGGACCGAUACUGACGCUGAGGACGAAAGCGUGGGGAGCAAACAGG